AUUGAACGCUGGCGGCAGGCCUAACACAUGCAAGUCGAACGAGUGGCGGACGGGUGAGUAAUGUCUGGGAAACUGCCUGAUGGAGGGGGAUAACUACUGGAAACGGUAGCUAAUCCCGCAUACCAUCGGAUGUGCCCAGAUGGGAUUAGCUAGUAGGUGGGGUAAAGGCUCACGUAGGCGACGAUCCCUAGCUGGUCUGAGAGGAUGACCAGCAACACUGGAAAUGAGACACGGUCCAGACUCCUACGGGAGGCAGCAGUGGGGAAUAUUGCACAAUGGGCGAACGCCUGAUGCAGCCAUGCGGCGUGUAGGAAGAAGGCCGUCGGGUUGUAAAGUACUUUCAGCGGGGAGGCGUUACCCGCAGAAGAAGCACCGGCUAACUCCGUGCCAGCAGCCGCGGUAAUAC
rnacentral:rRNA from 1 species